rnacentral:rRNA from 1 species
ACUUAAGCAUAUCAAUAAGCGGAGGAAAAGAAACUAACAAGGAUUCCCCUAGUAACUGCGAGUGAAGCGGGAAAUGCUCAAAUUUGUAAUCUGGCAGCUCUCUGAUCUGUCCGAGUUGUAAUCUAGAGAAGUGCUACCUGUGCUGGACCGUGUACAAGUCUUCUGGAAUGGAGCAUCACAGAGGGUGAGAAUCCCGUCUUCAACACGGACUCCCUGCACAUUAUGGUGCGCUCUCAAAGAGUCGAGUUGUUUGGGAAUGCAGCUCAAAAUGGGUGGUAAAUGCCAUCUAAAGCUAAAUAUUGGCGAGAGACCGAUAGCGAACAAGUACCGUGAGGGAAAGAUGAAAAGAACUUUGGAAAGAGAGUUAAACAGUACGUGAAAUUGCUGAAAGGGAAACGCUUGAAGUCAGUCGCGUCGGCUAGAAAUCAGCCUUGCUUUUGCUUGGUGUACUUUCUUGUCAACGGGUCAGCAUCAAUUUUGACCGUCGGAUAAAGUCGAUGGGAAUGUGGCAUCUUAGGAUGUGUUAUAGCCUGUUGUCGCAUACGACGGUUGGGAUUGAGGAACUCAGCACGCCCGCAAGGGACGGGGGAGUAAUCCGCCACGUUCGUGCUUAGGAUGCUGGCAUAAUGGCUUUAAUCGACCCGUCUUGAAACACGGACCAAGGAGUCUAACAUGCCUGCGAGUGUU